rnacentral:rRNA from 1 species
AGACCCGAAACCCGGUGAUCUAGCCAUGGGCAGGUUGAAGGUUGGGUAACACUAACUGGAGGACCGAACCGACUAAUGUUGAAAAAUUAGCGGAUGACCUGUGGCUGGGGGUGAAAGGCCAAUCAAACCGGGAGAUAGCUGGUUCUCCCCGAAAGCUAUUUAGGUAGCGCCUCGUGAAUUCAUCUCCGGGGGUAGAGCACUGUUUCGGCUAGGGGGCCAUCCCGGCUUACCAACCCGAUGCAAACUGCGAAUACCGGAGAAUGUUAUCACGGGAGACACACGGCGGGUGCUAACGUCCGUCGUGAAGAGGGAAACAACCCAGACCGCCAGCUAAGGUCCCAAAGUCAUGGUUAAGUGGGAAACGAUGUGGGAAGGCCCAGACAGCCAGGAUGUUGGCUUAGAAGCAGCCAUCAUUUAAAGAAAGCGUAAUAGCUCACUGGUCGAGUCGGCCUGCGCGGAAGAUGUAACGGGGCUAAACCAUGCACCGAAGCUGCGGCAGCGACACUCAGGUGUUGUUGGGUAGGGGAGCGUUCUGUAAGCCUGCGAAGGUGGCCUGUGAGGGUUGCUGGAGGUAUCAGAAGUGCGAAUGCUGACAUAAGUAACGAUAAAGCGGGUGAAAAGCCCGCUCGCCGGAAGACCAAGGGUUCCUGUCCAACGUUAAUCGGGGCAGGGUGAGUCGACCCCUAAGGCGAGGCCGAAAGGCGUAGUCGAUGGGAAACGGGUUAAUAUUCCCGUACUUGGUGUUACUGCGAAGGGGGGACGGAGAAGGCUAUGUUGGCCGGGCGACGGUUGUCCCGGUUUAAGCGUGUAGGUGUGUGUUCCAGGUAAAUCCGGUUCACUUUAACACUGAGGCGUGAUGACGAGGCACUACGGUGCUGAAGCAACAAAUGCCCUGCUUCCAGGAAAAGCCUCUAAGCAUCAGGUAACAUCAAAUCGUACCCCAAACCGACACAGGUGGUCAGGUAGAGAAUACCAAGGCGCUUGAGAGAACUCGGGUGAAGGAACUAGGCAAAAUGGUGCCGUAACUUCGGGAGAAGGCACGCUGACAUGUAGGUGAAGUGAUUUACUCAUGGAGCUGAAGUCAGUCGAAGAUACCAGCUGGCUGCAACUGUUUAUUAAAAACACAGCACUGUGCAAACACGAAAGUGGACGUAUACGGUGUGACGCCUGCCCGGUGCCGGAAGGUUAAUUGAUGGGGUCAGCGCAAGCGAAGCUCCUGAUCGAAGCCCCGGUAAACGGCGGCCGUAACUAUAACGGUCCUAAGGUAGCGAAAUUCCUUGUCGGGUAAGUUCCGACCUGCACGAAUGGCGUAAUGAUGGCCAGGCUGUCUCCACCCGAGACUCAGUGAAAUUGAACUCGCUGUGAAGAUGCAGUGUACCCGCGGCAAGACGGAAAGACCCCGUGAACCUUUACUAUAGCUUGACACUGAACAUUGAGCCUUGAUGUGUAGGAUAGGUGGGAGGCUUUGAAGUGUGGACGCCAGUCUGCAUGGAGCCGGCCUUGAAAUACCACCCUUUAAUGUUUGAUGUUCUAACGUGGACCCGUGAUCCGGGUUGCGGACAGUGUCUGGUGGGUAGUUUGACUGGGGCGGUCUCCUCCUAAAGAGUAACGGAGGAGCACGAAGGUUGGCUAAUCCUGGUCGGACAUCAGGAGGUUAGUGCAAUGGCAUAAGCCAGCUUGACUGCGAGCGUGACGGCGCGAGCAGGUGCGAAAGCAGGUCAUAGUGAUCCGGUGGUUCUGAAUGGAAGGGCCAUCGCUCAACGGAUAAAAGGUACUCCGGGGAUAACAGGCUGAUACCGCCCAAGAGUUCAUAUCGACGGCGGUGUUUGGCACCUCGAUGUCGGCUCAUCACAUCCUGGGGCUGAAGUAGGUCCCAAGGGUAUGGCUGUUCGCCAUUUAAAGUGGUACGCGAGCUGGGUUUAGAACGUCGUGAGACAGUUCGGUCCCUAUCUGCCGUGGGCGCUGGAGAACUGAGGGGGGCUGCUCCUAGUACGAGAGGACCGGAGUGGACGCAUCACUGGUGUUCGGGUUGUCAUGCCAAUGGCACUGCCCGGUAGCUAAAUGCGGAAGAGAUAAGUGCUGAAAGCAUCUAAGCACGAAACUUGCCCCGA